GCGAGAGUGGUGGAUUGGUAGACACGCUAGAUUUAGGAUCUAGUGCCUCACGGCGUGCGGGUUCAAAUCCCGCCUCUCGCA
rnacentral:tRNA from 1 species